rnacentral:rRNA from 1 species
AACUUUGGACAAUGGGGGAAACCCUGAUCUAGCUAUCCCGCGUGUUUGAUUAAGGCCUUCUGGUUGUAAAGUACUUUUGGCAGAGAAGAAAAGGUACCUCCUAAUACGAGGUACUGCUGACGGUAUCUGCAGAAUAAGCACCGGCUAACAACGUGCCAGCAGCCGCGGUAAUACGUAGGUUGCAAGCGUUAAUCUGAAUUACUGGGCGUAAAGCGUUUGUGGGCGGUUCGGAAAGAAAGAUGUGAAAUCCCAGGGCUCAACCUUGGAACUGCAUUUUUAACAGCCGAGCUAGAGUAUGUCAGAGGGAAGUAGAAUUCCACGUGUAGCAGUUAAAUGCGUAGAUAUGUGGAGGAAUACCGGUGGCGAAGGCAGCCCCCUGGGAUAAUGCUGACGCUCAGACACGAAAGCGUGGGGAGCAAACAGG